UGACGUAGAUUAGGGAGAGGUGUGCCCUGUCCCAGAUUCUGAACUGGAUGGUGGUGCAGCAUUCACCAUCAGGAGUCAGCUGCGCACACGAGGCAGAAGUCUCUGGAGGAUCCUCAGAGGCGAUGGUGGCAGCAAUAACAACCAGCUGGAACCACCUUCCAGAUCAACCAGCAUUCAGGCCUGGAUGUGACGUAAGAUUCACCUGGAACCUCGUUAAAUAGGUUCUUGGUUAUGUCUGGGGUACGACGUACGAGACUCUGCAGAUCUAGCAAGUUCCCUGAUGCUACCAAUGCUGCUAGUUCUCACCUGUAAGUAACAAGCUCUAGCCUCUGCGUCUCGCCGUACGAGUCCAAGAACCUGCUCCACCAGCAGCCAAAAGGACAACCAGGACUGAAGACACCAAUUAGGUGGCAGUGGUUGGAUCCAAAGCAAACUUCUUCCGGCAUUCAGAGACAAUGGGAAACACAAGCAUGGUACCCUGCAAACCCUUUUGAGUUCCCUGCCUUUCUCACCAUUUCCAAGGGUCGCUGAUAAUGACUCUAAACUCCAGACAAAUUAUAAAAACAACUGUCUGCAGGCACUGAAGAGUGACCAAAAGCAGGCACAUUCUGCAGAAGAGUCAACAUUUGGAAGAAGGGACUUGUACUGAACCUGCCUUGGUGGCGUUAACAAUCACCAGUGACUUGAGAUACAAGAACAUCCCUUCCGACGGCAGGAAUGAAUGAAUGAUACUGGUAUCCACUAAAAUGAGGCUUAAAUAGUUUAAUAUUACCAGUUAAGUGUUGGGAAAUGUAUUGCAUACCAUUAUCUUUUCUCCUCCCAUAAAUGUAAUAAUGUUCCUACCUUUGUUGGUUUAUAUGGUAGCAAUAAAAAUUUUCCAUGUCAAA